GUGUCAGCAGCCGCGGUAAUACGAAGGGUGCGAGCGUUAUUCGGAAUCACUGGGCGUAAAGGGUGCGUAGACGGUGCGUUAAGUUUGUUGUUAAAGACUCUAGCCUAACUGGAGGUUUGCAAUGAAAACUGGCGUGCUAGAGGGUGAGAGAGAGAAGUGGAAUUCCCGGAGUAGCGGUAAAAUGCGUGGAUCUCGGGAGGAACACCAAUGGCGAAGGCAGCUUCUUGGCUCAUUCCUGACGUUGAGGCACGAAAGCGUGGGGAGCAAACAGGAUUAGAAACCCCUGUAGUCC
rnacentral:rRNA from 1 species